rnacentral:rRNA from 1 species
CUAAUACAUGCAAGUCGAGCGGACUUGCUGGAGCUUGCUCCAGCAGGUUAGCGGCGGACGGGUGAGUAACACGUGGGCAACCUGCCUGUAAGACUGGGAUAACUCCGGGAAACCGGAGCUAAUACCGGAUAGUAUCUUGAACCGCAUGGUUCAAGUUGGAAAGACGGUUUCGGCUGUCACUUACAGAUGGGCCCGCGGCGCAUUAGCUAGUUGGUGAGGUAAUGGCUCACCAAGGCAACGAUGCGUAGCCGACCUGAGAGGGUGAUCGGCCACACUGGGACUGAGACACGGCCCAGACUCCUACGGGAGGCAGCAGUAGGGAAUCUUCCGCAAUGGACGAAAGUCUGACGGAGCAACGCCGCGUGAGUGAUGAAGGUUUUCGGAUCGUAAAACUCUGUUGUUAGGGAAGAACAAGUGCGAGAGUAACUGCUCGCACCUUGACGGUACCUAACCAGAAAGCCACGGCUAACUACGUGCCAGCAGCCGCGGUAAUACGUAUGUGGCAAGCGUUGUCCGGAAUUAUUGGGCGUAAAGCGCGCGCAGGCGGUUUCUUAAGUCUGAUGUGAAAGCCCCCGGCUCACCCGGGGAGGGUCAUUGGAAAACUGGGAAACUUGAGUGCAGAAGAGGAGAGU